UGGGUAGACGCGUUUUUUCCUUUUGCAGAAGAGCCAUUUUCAUUGCUUCCAUACUGGAUUGAUUUCUGGCCUCUGUGAUUUCAGCAGCCCAAGGAGGUCUUCUCCCCUGAGGAACAGUACUGUAAUUAUCCAGAUUCCAGAUGAAUGAAGAGGCUGAGGGACGUUUGUAGAACGGGUGGGGCAGAAGAUCCUGUUCUAUCAACCACAAAAGCUCUGGGGUGAGCAGGGUUGGGGUGCUGAGCCCACAACCACAUGAGAUGAAGAUUCCGAAGGACAGGACCUUUCAGCAAGCAAACCGCAGACAAGGCUCAAAGAUCUCUUUGACCCCUGUGUGGACAACAGAUCAGAAGAAGCAGAGAGCCUGGCUGGGAGGCGACUGCAAGGAGAGCUCCGCUUGGAAAACAGAGGGACAAAUUGGAUGCAGAUCUGCUUGUUCUGAUACCUAAGCAUGGCUUGGAAAAUGAAUUACCAGGCAAGUCAGUGGUUCAUUCCAUUAGCUCUUCAUAAGACAUUGCUUCGUAACUGCCUGCUGGGGAAGCCUCCCAAGGGAGGGGCUUUGCAGUCUUCGAAGUCUGAUUACCAGAGUUGGUGGCCUGGCCAACCCUGGGGACAUACGUGGG
rnacentral:lncRNA from 1 species